UACGAAGGGGGGCUAGCGUUGCUCGGAAUUACUGGGCGUAAAGCGCACGUAGGCGGCUCUUUAAGUCGGGGGUGAAAUCCUGGAGCUCAACUCCAGAACUGCCUUCGAUACUGUAGAGCUUGAGUUCGGGAGAGGUGAGUGGAACUGCGAGUGUAGAGGUGAAAUUCGUAGAUAUUCGCAAGAACACCAGUGGCGAAGGCGGCUCACUGGCCCGAUACUGACGCUGAGGUGCGAAAGCGUGGGGAGCAAACAGGAUUGAGAAA
rnacentral:rRNA from 1 species